UUAGAGUGUGCUAGCUUGCUAGAAUUUAGUAUACAGGUGCUGCACGGCUGUCGUCAGCUCGUGUCGUGAGAUGUGGGUUAAGUCCCGCAACGAGCGCAACCUCGUGUUUAGUUGCUAACAGUCCGGCUGAGAACUCUAAACAGACUGCCUACGCAAGUAGGAGGAAGGUGAGGACGACGUCAAGUCAUCAUGGCCCUUACGGCCAGGGCUACACACGUGCUACAAUGGGGUAUACAAAGAGCAGCGAUACGGUGACGUGGAGCAAAUCUAGAAAAUGCCUCUCAGUUCGGAUUGUAGUCUGCAACUCGACUACAUGAAGUUGGAAUCGCUAGUAAUCGUAGAUCAGCAAUGCUACGGUGAAUACGUUCCCGGGUCUU
rnacentral:rRNA from 1 species